CUAAACCAUGCACCGAAGCUGCGGCAGCGACACUGUGUGUUGUUGGGUAGGGGAGCGUUCUGUAAGCCUGUGAAGGUGUGUCGUGAGGCAUGCUGGAGGUAUCAGAAGUGCGAAUGCUGACAUAAGUAACGAUAAAGCGGGUGAAAAGCCCGCUCGCCGGAAGACCAAGGGUUCCUGUCCAACGUUAAUCGGGGCAGGGUGAGUCGACCCCUAAGGCGAGGCCGAAAGGCGUAGUCGAUGGGAAACGGGUUAAUAUUCCCGUACUUGGUGUUACUGCGAAGGGGGGACGGAGAAGGCUAUGUUGGCCGGGCGACGGUUGUCCCGGUUUAAGCGUGUAGGUGUGUGUUCCAGGUAAAUCCGGUUCACUUUAACACUGAGGCGUGACGACGAGGCACUACGGUGCUGAAGCAACAAAUGCCCUGCUUCCAGGAAAAGCCUCUAAGCAUCAGGUAACAUCAAAUCGUACCCCAAACCGACACAGGUGGUCAGGUAGAGAAUACCAAGGCGCUUGAGAGAACUCGGGUGAAGGAACUAGGCAAAAUGGUGCCGUAACUUCGGGAGAAGGCACGCUGACACGUAGGUGAAGUGAUUUACUCAUGGAGCUGAAGUCAGUCGAAGAUACCAGCUGGCUGCAACUGUUUAUUAAAAACACAGCACUGUGCAAACACGAAAGUGGACGUAUACGGUGUGACGCCUGCCCGGUGCCGGAAGGUUAAUUGAUGGGGUCAGCGCAAGCGAAGCUCCUGAUCGAAGCCCCGGUAAACGGCGGCCGUAACUAUAACGGUCCUAAGGUAGCGAAAUUCCUUGUCGGGUAAGUUCCGACCUGCACGAAUGGCGUAAUGAUGGCCAGGCUGUCUCCACCCGAGACUCAGUGAAAUUGAACUCGCUGUGAAGAUGCAGUGUACCCGCGGCAAGACGGAAAGACCCCGUGAACCUUUACUAUAGCUUGACACUGAACAUUGAGCCUUGAUGUGUAGGAUAGGUGGGAGGCUUUGAAGUGUGGACGCCAGUCUGCAUGGAGCCGACCUUGAAAUACCACCCUUUAAUGUUUGAUGUUCUAACGUGGACCCGUUACCCGGGUUGCGGACAGUGUCUGGUGGGUAGUUUGACUGGGGCGGUCUCCUCCUAAAGAGUAACGGAGGAGCACGAAGGUUGGCUAAUCCUGG
rnacentral:rRNA from 1 species